rnacentral:rRNA from 1 species
CCUACGGGUGGCAGCAGUGAGGAAUAUUGGUCAAUGGCCGGAAGGCUGAACCAGCCAAGCCGCGUGAAGGACGAAGGUGCCAAGCAUUGUAAACUUCUUUUGUCAAGGGACAAAAUCAGGCUCGAGAGCCUGACCGAGGGGACUUGAAGAAAAAGCAUCGGCUAACUCCGUGCCAGGAGCCGCGGUAAUACGGAGGAUGCGAGCGUUAGCCGGAUGUAGUGGGGUUAAAGGGGGCGUAGGCGGACUGUUAAGUCAGCGGUAAAAGCCCGGGGCUCAACCCCGGCGCGCCGUUGAAACUGGCUGUCUUGAGCUGUCGAGAGUUAUGCGGAAUGCGCAGUGUAGCGGUGAAAUGCUUAGAU